UAGGGAAUCUUCGGCAAUGGACGAAAGUCUGACCGAGCAACGCCGCGUGAGUGAAGAAGGUUUUCGGAUCGUAAAACUCUGUUGUUAGAGAAGAACAAGGACGUUAGUAACUGAACGUCCCCUGACGGUAUCUAACCAGAAAGCCACGGCUAACUACGUGCCAGCAGCCGCGGUAAUACGUAGGUGGCAAGCGUUGUCCGGAUUUAUUGGGCGUAAAGCGAGCGCAGGCGGUUUCUUAAGUCUGAUGUGAAAGCCCCCGGCUCAACCGGGGAGGGUCAUUGGAAACUGGGAGACUUGAGUGCAGAAGAGGAGAGUGGAAUUCCAUGUGUAGCGGUGAGAUGCGUAGAUAAAUGGAGGAACACCAGUGGCGAAGGCGGCUCUCUGGUCUGUAACUGACGCUGAGGCUCGAAAGCGUGGGGAGCAAACAGG
rnacentral:rRNA from 1 species